GUGCUUAACACAUGCAAGUCGAACGAUGAAGCCUAGCUUGCUAGGUGGAUUAGUGGCGCACGGGUGAGUAAUAUAUAGAUAACGUGCCUCUUAGUCUGGGAUAGCCAUUGGAAACGAUGAUUAAUACUAGAUACUCCUUCUCUAUCAAAUUAGAGUCGGGAAAGUUUUUCGCUAAGAGAUCGGUCUAUAUCCCAUCAGCUAGUUGGUAGUGUAAGAGACUACCAAGGCAAUGACGGGUAGCGGGUUUGAGAGGAUGAUCCGCCACACUGGUACUGAGACACGGACCAGACUCCUACGGGAGGCAGCAGUGAGGAAUAUUGCACAAUGGAGGAAACUCUGAUGCAGCAACGCCGCGUGGAGGAUGACGCAUUUCGGUGUGUAAACUCCUUUUAUAUGUCAAGAAAAUGACGGUAGCAUAUGAAUAAGCACCGGCUAACUCCGUGCCAGCAGCCGCGGUAAUACGGAGGGUGCAAGCGUUAUUCGGAAUCACUGGGCGUAAAGGACGCGUAGGCGGGAUGCCAAGUCUGAUGUGAAAUCCUAUGGCUUAACCAUAGAACUGCAUUGGAAACUGGUAACCUAGAGUAUGGGAGGGGGAGAUGGAAUUAGUGGUGUAGGGGUAAAAUCCGUAGAUAUCACUAGGAAUACCGAAAGCGAAGGCGAUCUCCUGGAACAAUACUGACGCUAAGGCGUGAAAGCGUGGGGAGCAAACGGGAUUAGAUACCCCGGUAGUCCACGCCCUAAACGAUGUUCACUAGUCGUCGGGAUGCUAGUCAUCUCGGUGAUGCACUUAACAGAUUAAGUGAACCGCCUGGGGAGUACGGUC
rnacentral:rRNA from 1 species